GACGAACGCUGGCGGCGUGCUUAACACAUGCAAGUCGAACGGAAAGGCCCUGCUCUUGUGGGGUGCUCGAGUGGCGAACGGGUGAGUAACACGUGAGUAACCUGCCCUUGACUUUGGGAUAACUUCAGGAAACUGGGGCUCAUACCGGAUAGGAGCUCCUGCUGCACGGUGGGGGUUGGAAAGUUUCGGCGGUUGGGGCUGGACUCGCGGCUUAUCAGCUUGUUGGUGGGGUAGUGGCUUACCAAGGCUUUGACGGGUAGCCGGCCUGAGAGGGUGAACGGCCACAUUGGGACUGAGGUACGGCCCAGACUCCUACGGGAGGCAGCAGUGGAGAGUAUUGCACAGUGGGGGGAAGCCUGAUGCAGCAACGCCGCGUGCGGGAUGACGGCCUUCGGGUUGUGAACCGCUUUCGCCUGUGACGAAGCGUGAGUGACGGUAAUGGGUAAAGAAGCACCGGCUAACUACGUG
rnacentral:rRNA from 1 species